rnacentral:rRNA from 1 species
AAUAUUGGACAAUGGGGGCAACCCUGAUCCAGCCAUGCCGCGGGUGUGAAGAAGGUCUUCGGAUUGUAAAGCACUUGAAGUUGGGAGGAAGGGCAGUAAGUUAAUACCUUGCUGUUUUGACGUUACCGACAGAAUAAGCACCGGCUAACCCUGUGCCAUCAGCAGCGCUAAUACAGAGGGUGCAAGCGUUAAUCGGAAUUACUGGGCGUAAAGCGCGCGUAGGUGGUUUGUUAAGUUGGAAGUGAAAGCCCCGGGCUCAACCUGGGAACUGCUUUCAAAACUGGCAAGCUAGAGUAUGGCAGAGGGUGGUGGAAUUUCCUGUGUAUCGGUGAAAUGCGUAGAUAUAGGAAGGAACACCAGUGGCGAAGGCGACUACCUGGACUGAUACUGACACUGAGGUGCGAAAGCGUGGGGAGCAAAC